rnacentral:rRNA from 1 species
AUGUGCUGCCUAGUAUCGGGAGCUGCCGAUCUUACAUGUUGGGAUGCCCUGCGAGCUGCAUUGCCUGUUGGAACCGUCAGUUGUGCUCCCAAGGUGAGAGCGAUGGAGCUGACCGACGAGAUGGAGGUGAAGAUGCGCGGGCCAUACAGCGGUGGCUUCGGCCAGAUCUCGUUCCGCGGCGACAUGGACAUCGCCCUCGCGCUGCGCACCAUCGUCUUCCCGACAGCAUCCCGGUUCCACACCAUGUACUCGUACGCCUCUGACAGCAGCAACGCGCCAGGAGUGGGUGGCGCACCUCCAGACCGGCGUCGGGAUCGUUGCUGA